rnacentral:piRNA from 1 species
UCACACAACCACAGGGUGAAGUCCCACAAUU